rnacentral:tRNA from 1 species
CUCCGGAUGGCCAAGCUGGUAAGGCGUCAGGCUGUAAUUGAUUUCCAAAAUUACCUGAAAAUCGCGUGUUCGAGUCACGCUCCGGAGA